rnacentral:lncRNA from 1 species
AUUUUUUUUAAAACCUGACACGUGUGUAAUGGACACUGACGUGGCACGCCACUGUGUAAUUAUUUUAUUUUUUUUAAAUCUGACAUGUGUGUAAUGGUUUAAUAAAUUAUUUUUAAAAAGAUAAAAAAAACUGAAAAUUAAUUUUCAAAAAUUUAAAAUCAAGAAAAAAAAUCAAUUUUUUUAAAAAACGAAAAAAAAGUUGUGUUUUUUUUCAAAAAAUAAAAAUAUUAAGAAAAAAAUAUUAAUUUUUUUACCAAAACAUUUAAAAAUUAGCUUAUAUUAUUAUUUUCGAAUAUUUUUAAAAUUUUAAUUUAAUUUGGAUUUUUUUUAAAUUUUUCGAAAGUUUCAAAAUAUAGUAAGUGUAUGAAUUUUUUUAUAUAUAAUAUUUUUGGAAAUAUAUAUAUAUAAAGAAAACAACCCCUUUCAGCUUUUGGGUUGGCUGUUUCUUUUCAAAAAUGCCCACAAUUUUCAAUACAAAUAACACAUGUAACAAAUAGUUAAGAAUAAAUUUAAAUAUUAAAUAAAUUUCCAGAUUUUUUUUAUCCUCAAUUUUUAAAUAUUAAAAAAUAUUCUCAAAUAUGUAACAUAUCGUAAUAAAAAUCUAAAUUUUCCUAAAUUUUUAAAUAAAUUUGUAUCCGGAUUUUUUUUUUUUGUUGAGAAAAUUUAAAAAACUUCUUUUUCGAAAAAAAAUCUGUUUUAAACUUCAAAAAAUAUAUAUUCCAAAUUUUCGAAAAUAAUUUGAAUUUUUUUUUUUGAAAUAUAUAUUUCAACAUUUUCAAAAAUAAUUUUAAAAAAUUUUGAAAUAUAUAUUUUUUCGUAAAUUAUAAAUUUUGGAAAAAUCCUGAUUUUUUUAAAUUUUUAUAUAUAUAUUUUUUAAAUAAAUUUUAAAAAAUUAAUUAUACAGUCAGCAUGCCACAUAAUCGUAUAUGCACAGUCAGCAUGCCACUCAGCUCGCCACGUCAGCAAUUAUGCACAGACACAUGUGUCAGGGGCUAAAAUCAAAGAAUCUUAUGUUACGGGGUUGGAAUCUAAACUUUUUUUUUUACAGGGGGAAAACCGGAACUCGCCCAAAUUAGAGGGGGGUAAAUACAUAUUAACCCUUUAUUAUAAGCCAUCUUAAAGAUAAAAAAUGAGUAAAUAGUCAAUUACCCCUGAAAUUGUAAGUUUCGUCAAUUAACCUCCUAAAAGUAACAAAAUGUCAAUUACCCCCCCUGAAAUUGCACAACGUUAAUCAAUUUACCCCCUCCGUCAAAUUUUUCUGUUAGUAAACAUGACGUUUUGCAAAUAUCCCCCCCUGAAGUUUUACACUUAUGUGCAAAAUGUCCCCCGAACUUGAAGAUUUAUAUAUUUUUUUCUUAUCCUUAACUCAAAGAUAUUAACGACAAGCAAUUAACAGUUAACUUUAAUACUUUACAUGGCUCUUUCAUUCUUAAAGGGGUCUGUUAUUUUAUUUUGUUUAUGUUAUGCCAUUUGGUUGUUCAAUUCUCCAUAAAUUAUGACUUAUUUAGAUAGAGACACGCCAAUUCACAACAAAGUAAGCUAGAGACACUCAUUCCUCAUGAAUAAUUAAUUCUAACAGUUUCUUAAGANUUUAUUUCCUGAGUUGUUUGAUUCAAUUGGGGGAAGCUUGAACCCUUGAUUUCCUAUGUUGUUUGAUUCAAUUCUAUUAUUUCGUUUGUCAAAAGCAAAAUGGCUUAAUUUCAUGAUGCCCAUGGAUAAAUUUUUUACUGUUUCUAAUUUAGGCUUAAUUUUUCCCUUUUUAAUUUGCUAAUGUGAGGGUUAAUACGAGGAAUCUGAAUCUUGUGACUCGGUGACUAACAUCUCUAAUUCCAUCUCUAAUUCUUAGCUUGAUUCUAAUUAUUAUGCAUUGUUUAUUUAUUUCUCUUUGUUUUGUGUUCUUAGACAAUGUGCCUUUUUCAAUUACUUGCUUGAGUCAUUGUUCUUAUUCACCCUUUCUUGUUUUAUUUUGUUAUUUAUUAUUUAUGUGUGAAUUGUGCAUUUUGUAGGAGUAAUAAUGCAAUGAUUCAACCAGAUGAGCAGCCUUGAAAGGAACCUCUUCGUCAAUGUUUUCAGCCUGCCCAAACCUCUGGCGAUGAUUCAAAGGAGUGAAAGACAACAGGGGUAUGCUUGUGUGGUUACUUGCAAGAUAAUAAAAAGCAUCUGACUUGUAAUCUUUUUAGUCAGCUGUACAGCGAUAAUUCUAGAAAUAGGUGGUUAGUUUUUGUUGAUUUCAAUUUGGUUUUGUGUCAAGCUGGAAAAAAAAUGGAGGUAAUCCUAUUGAUAGUAGUAUUACUAACCAGUUCAAAGACACUAUCCAGCAGCGUGGCUUUAAUGAUUUGAGCUACAUUGGGGAUAUUUUCAUCACAUAAAAGCUAGAUUGGACAGAUUCUUAGUUAGCAAUGUAUAUGUUCCAUAAUUUUUCUAAUAUACAAAGGUAUGCCUCUGAUCAUAUACCUUUACUUUUUUAAAAAAAUUUGUAACUCUCAUUUGGAUAUAUUGUUAAAAAAAAAAACACUCUCAUUUGGAUAUAAUAGUUGCGGCUCCCUCCAAUAUUUCGGGCAAGAUCCGCCACUGCUCACAAUAUGCAAACAAUUGAUGGAUAUGCAAAAGCUGAACAAGUUUAUUUAUUCUUACCAUCAAAAGGCUUGCUCGGCAUACCGGUAAUUCGUUGUAACAUCCUUUCAUGUCUCUCAUCAUCUUCCUCCCCAUAAUCAUCAUCUGAAUCAAUUUCCUUCCUCUUUUUACCAAUAAAAUCGUAGCCGCCGUCGUCAUCAUCAGAUUGUACAUUCUCAUCCUAAACAAACAAAUGAAUGAUUCAGACAAAUGAAACAGGAAAUGAACAAUGAAAUUAAGGCAACAAUUAUAAGAAACCUCGAAAUCAGAAGAAAGGUCAUUAUCAUCAUUAACAGAAACAGGGUCGUAACGCUUAUUCUUUCUGGAUUCUUCUUCAGGUUGUUCUUCUUCGUAUUCGUAAACAUCGCUGUCGAUAUCAUCGACAUCAACAGGGGUAGGGUUUAAGUGUUGAAUCUCUUUUUUCAAAGAUGAAGGCAAACGAGGACCAGUUUUCUUCCGUUGAUUGUCGGAAGUCUUCUUCGACUUCUUUUUUGCGGUGUGGCGGUUAGCGUCGCCUCUCUCCUUUCGCUUCUCCUCUGCCAUGUUUGUUGCUGAAGCGUUGACGCAGAGAAUGUGUUGGGUACCAACGCCGCUAGGUUUAGAGAUUGCCAAAAACCUGAUUCAAAAGUAGAGAAAUGGUCACAUGAUAACCUAAUUAAUUUUUUUUGUUUUGCUUAAAUAUAAAAUUCGUCUCUGAAAAUUUAAUUUUCAAUUUUUAAUUAAAAAUUACUUUUUUUCAAAAUUCUGAAAAUUCAUUUUUUUUAAAAUAUAAAAAAUCUGAAAAUAAAUUUAAAAAUCAUAAAAAAACUGAAAAUUAAAUUUUCGAAAAUUCAUUUUUUUUAAUUCUGAAAAUUAAAUUAUAUUUUCAUUUUCAAAAAAUUUUAAUUUUAUUUUUCUUAAAUUUAUUUCUAGAUUUUAAAAACACUAAUUUCCAAAAAAAUUCUUCAUAUUUCAAAAAAAAAAAUUGGAAUUUUUUAUGAUUUUUUUAUUUAUUUUCAGUUUUUUUAAUUUUAAAAAAUAAUUUUCAUAUUUUUAAAAAAUAAUGACGUGGACUGCCACGUCAGAGCCACGUGGCAAAAGUUGCACAAUCAGCAACUGCCACGUGGCCAAAGUAAUCCCAUGUCAGCAAAAAAGUGGGGUCAGAGACCUUUUUAAAACAAAAAAAAAAUUUGCGGGGAUGUUUUUAAUUUAUUGUUUUUACAAGGACGAAAAUCAAAACGCGUCCAAAUUACAGGGACGGAUUGCAUAUUUAAGCCUUUUGCUUUUAAUCCUUGCAACAAAAAUACACCUUUUAAUGCAAUUAAAAUUUUGGCUAAAUUAGUCAAAUGGUCCCUCAACUAAUUUCGAGUUUUCAUUUUGGUCUCAUAACUCUUAAAAUUAUCAUUUUGGUCCCUCGACUUUUGCUCCGUUAUUCAAAAAGGUCCAUGACUAUUAACUUUAACCCUAAAUGUCUAUAGUGGACUAACAUUAAGAGUGGUCCACCAUAGAUCCUAUUAAUUAUUUUAAUUAAAACCGUUUGAUCUUUUUUCUUAAAAGAGGACCAUUAGAUUACACAUGUCUAUUUUAUCUUAGGAUGUAUUGUAACACCCCGUUUUUUCAACUUGAAUUUUUUUGCAUAAAUCAGAGUAAAACAACUAAACAGGAUGUUACACUUUUUUCAAAUAUGAAUAUAGUAAAAUUACUAUUUAUUUCAAUCAUCAUAUGUCAUCAAAUUAAAUCUCAUUGCAGCGGAAAACAACUAAGUUUAACAUCAUGUUGGCACAACGGUCUCAACUUAAACAAUUUAAUUAAAAUCCAGUUUAAACAAAACUUCAACAUAAAAUCAUGAUAAAUACGUAACACAUGGAAAACAAGCAAAUCUCCAUCCCGUUACGUAUCAGAGCGACCCUAAGACGACUACACGUGAGAGAAUCAUCUCACUUCAACAACUAUUCUUGAUUUCCUGCAAGUUACUCAAUUGUAAGGGCAACAUUUCCAAGCAGAAGGGGUGAGAUUUCACAUUCAAUAAUAAUAAGCAUAAAUUCAUCAAAUGCAUUUAACAACUUAAGCUUCAUCAAUUAAUAACAUUAAUUCUUCAUAUAAUACUUCACUAAAUCAUCGAUCAACUUCUAGUCAUCAUUAAUAUCAUAUUCAUCACCUCAUAUACAUUCAUCAUAUAACAACAUAAUCAUCAUAUCAUAACAUCAUCAUGUAACAGCAUAAUCAUCACAUCAUAAACAUCAUCAUAAUAUAACAUAAACAUCACAUCAUAAACAUCAUCUUAUAACAUCAUAUACUUCACAUCAUAAACAUCUUCAUAUAACAACAUAAACAACAACGAUUAAUAAAUAUUAAUACUUCACAUAGUUCUUCAUUAACAACUCAUUGAUAAAUUACAACUUAACGACAACGACAAUGCGACUACAACAACUUAAACUCGAUAAAUGCAACUUCAACUUCUUAAUCAUGCAUGUGGUACCAAUCAGGGCAUCAAGCCCCCAACGUAUUGAGCAUAAAUACACUCCAAGGACAUCAAGCCCUCAACUUAAAGAGCAAAAGCUCACAGGGCAUCAAGCCCUCAACUUAAAGAGCAAAAGCUCACAAGGGCAUCAAGCCCUCAACGUAAAUGAGUAUGCAUGGACUCAACAACUAAUGCAACGACAACCAACAACUUCAACGACAUCGACAACAACUUACAACUUUAACGACAUUGACAACAACCUACAACUUUAACAACUUGACCAACAUAUGCAACUUAAUUAUUUAAUAAUCAAUACAGCAAAGACAACAACAUACAACAACUUCACAACAUAACAUCAUUAAUAAUAACAACUUGAAUGGUAUAACAACAUUAUUUUCUAUAUCAUACCUUUUCCACAUAAAUAUACGUAACUCAAAUUAUUCAACAACAACAUUCACAUAAUAUAUGUAUUUCAAAUUAUCCAACAAAGAUAUUCACGUCAAACCAAAUUAGAUCCAUCACAACAUAGGUUAAAUACUCUUAAACACCCUAUUUGAACUCAUAGUACUUCUAGUUUUGAGGUCUGGAAUUAUUCCUUAAGUUUUGGAUUAACUUAGAAACGGUUAUGUUGAAUUUUCAUAAGAUUUCACUAAGACCUCCUUGGAGUAUUUUCAUCAUAUCUCAAGAAUCAAAAAUCAUUUUCAUGUCAAACCAAAGUCACUGGAAAGCUAACUCAAUUAUCUACAACUUUCAUGUUUACACCAAAGGCCAAUUCAAAACAGAAACGUGUGAAAAAGAUGCAAGAACAUGAAACAGGACGUGCUGUCAGAGAGCAACUCGGGAAAAACUCACUUAAAUCCCAAUUUUAACUUCCCUAUGCCCAAAUUUGAUCCAAAAACUUGACUAACAAUUUCUAUACAUGUUAAGGCACUCAAAACCAUAUAAAACAUUGCACUAAGAAUAACUCAUGAUCUGAACAUCAAUUCUAAACUCAAUUUCAGAAUUAUACAACUUAGAAUUAGAGAAAGUUACUCUCACCCUUACCUUAGAUUAGAUGAUCGGUCUCUACGAGAUUGCUCCUCUUCUCUUUCUCUGACUUCUCACUUUCUCUCUUUUUCUCCAAAAACAGGUUUCACGUAAUCCUUAUUUUCUAAUUCUAACUCUCCCCUUUUAUAUAAAUCCUUAACCUACUUAUUUUAUCUUAUUUUCAAAUCUGCCCUCCAAGUCUCAAUAUUCUAUUCUAAUAUAUAUAUAUAUAUAUAUAUAUAUAUAUUCUAUAACAUAUAUAUUUCUACAUCAAAUAAGAAAUAUAUUUCUGCACCAUAUAACAUAUAUAUUUCUACACCAAAUAACAUAUAUAUUUCUACACCAAAUAACAUAAUAUUUCCAUUUAUUCCACUAAACUCUUCUAAUUUCCAAAACAGUCCCUACAACUUAAUCUUAUUUUAUUUUUAAAUCUUAUUCUAUUAAAUAAUAAAAUAAGUCACUUAAUAAAUCAACAACACAUCACAAUAAUCAUAUAAAUCACAUGAGUCAUAUAAAUAGACCCUAAACUCAAUAUAAUAUUCAAAUAAUAAAAUAGGGUGUUACAUGUAUCACCAACACCAAUUUUUUUUUCCUUUUCUUCAUCUCUUUCCUCCACCUUUUCUUUAUCUUUAUCAUCAUAUAUUCAUUAUUCAUUACAACAACCCAGAAAGAAAGAAAAAAAAACCUAAUUAAAUUCAUAUAUGAUAUUCAUCUCAAUUUUCUAUGUCAACAUGAUUCUGAUUUAGAACAUGAAUGAAUUUUAGAGAUAGAGAAAAUAAUUUAGAACAUCAUAACCCAUUGAAUUGAUUUUCAUUCUCGUCAAUGUCGAUACCCAUUUAACUUUCUUUUCAUUAUACCACAAGGCUAAAACACUCCUUAAAACAUUCAAUACAUCAAUAUUCUUCUUCUUCAAUCUGAGCUUCUUCUUCUUCUUUCUAGGGUCUCCAUCAAUAUUCUUUCUUCAAACAUUCAAUACAAUAGUAACCAGAAACAACAGAGUAUCAAAUCCAAUUUAUGAACAAACCAAGACAAGAACAGAGGUGCAGGGCCGCGCUAAAGGGAUGGGCGAAGACUAUAGGGAUGGUGGUGGUUGCAUGACGGCGGGGUGACGCGACGGAGAACGACCCUUUCGUAGAAGGGAGAUCAGUUUUGAAGAGAAAAUUGAUCGACAUAUUCGCACAGGUGACCUUUCUUCUCCUUCCGGCGUUGGUUUUGCUCCGUUCUCCUCCGUAACUGCUCAGAUUCGCACCUCUCUCCUCCGACUGUUCUCCAAUUUCGGUCGAUUCUCCGGAUCUCGAAGCUUACCUUUCUGGCUUUUCCCUGCGCAGGUUUUAUCAGCUUCUUCUCUCUAUCUGUCCAGCGUGGUUUCUCUUCAUGCUUUGAAGGUUUUAUGGCGUUGCUUUGUAGUCUUGCUCUGUUCGUGAGGUUCGUUCCGGUUCGGUCUUGUUGUCGUAAAAAUGAAGGAGGAUGAGAAAACAAAAGGUUUUUUUUAUGCUUUGUUUGGAGUUUUUUUAAGGUUGUUGUUGUUGGGGUUCUGUGUUGUUUGGAAAAUGAAGGAGAUCUAAAACAACGGUUCUAAUAAAAUAGAAGUGGAUCUCAUGUGGUAAAAUGGGUUGUGAAGAACAAGAUUCAAGAAGACGAUUUUUUGGUUUAUUACAAUCAUGUUUUUUUAUUGUGUUUCUUUGGACUUAUUUUGGAAGAAAAAAAUUCUGGAAAAAUGUUGAUAUAGAAUGAGGAGGAGGAAGAGAGAAGAUGAUGAAAAAUAAAAAAUGACGGUUAAAAUCAAAUCAAAAAAUUUAGACAUUAAAAAACUAACGGAGUGGAUUAAUUUGACUAAUGGAGCAAAAGUUAAGGGACCAAAAUGAUGAUUUUAAAAGUUAUGGGACCAAAACAAAAAUUCGAAAUUAGUUGAGGGACCAUUUGAUUAAUUUAGCCUAAAAUUUUACAUCAACAUGUUACCAAAACAAAAAAAAAAUAAAAAUUACAUCAACAUUUUUAUUCAGGGUUAUGCUAACCGCAUCGGUGCCCUUAUGACACUAGUUAAGGAAAUAAAAAACAAUAAAUUUGAAUUGAAUUCAACAAUUUUUUAACUUUUUAUAAGUCUUUCGUUAUAUUUUUGUAGGAAGUAGCAAAUGUGGUUAGAGUUCACAAAUUUAAAUGUGGAGUAGUGAGAUGUUCAAAGUUCGAACAUUGAUCCCUGCAUAUAAUAUGUAAUAUCUCUACCAACUGAGUUAAGCUCACAACGAUAAAUUCUUGUUAUUUAUAUGAACCAUUAACUUAUUAACUCGUAAUUGCAAUAUAUAAUAUACAUAGUUGAUAGACAUUGGCUUGCUUUUUAGUAAAUAAUAAAAAAAUAGAUGUAUUGUUAACCAGUGUUCUAAGGGCAUUGAUGAUUAAUGAAUCCAUUAAUAAAAGUUUUGUCUUAAAAAUAUAAGUUUUUAUUUUUGUCUUAAUAGUAAUUACGCUAUUUUUUUUUUUAUAAAAACUUACUAAUUUUAAUAUUUUAAUUAAUGCCCCCAAAGACACCCAUUAGCAUUCUCCAAAAAAUAAAGUUUAGUGAUAUAAAUCAACUCCUCCGUAUUUUAUUAUAGGGUUAAUAUGUCUUUACCCCCCUGUAAUUUGGGCGAGUUCCGGUUUACCCCCCUGUAAAAAAAAAAGUUUAGAUUUCAACCCUAUAAUAUAAAAAUUCUCCACAAAACACCCUGUAAUAUGAAGAUCCUCCACAAAACACCCCUGACCCUAUUCAGACGCUGAUGUGGCACGCCACUGUGUAAUUAUUUUAAUUUUAAUUUUUUUUAAAACCUGACACGUGUGUAAUGGACACUGACGUGGCACGCCACUGUGUAAUUAUUUUAUUUUUUUUAAAUCUGACAUGUGUGUAAUGGUUUAAUAAAUUAUUUUUAAAAAGAUAAAAAAAACUGAAAAUUAAUUUUCAAAAAUUUAAAAUCAAGAAAAAAAAUCAAUUUUUUUAAAAAACGAAAAAAAAGUUGUGUUUUUUUUCAAAAAAUAAAAAUAUUAAGAAAAAAAUAUUAAUUUUUUUACCAAAACAUUUAAAAAUUAGCUUAUAUUAUUAUUUUCGAAUAUUUUUAAAAUUUUAAUUUAAUUUGGAUUUUUUUUAAAUUUUUCGAAAGUUUCAAAAUAUAGUAAGUGUAUGAAUUUUUUUAUAUAUAAUAUUUUUGGAAAUAUAUAUAUAUAAAGAAAACAACCCCUUUCAGCUUUUGGGUUGGCUGUUUCUUUUCAAAAAUGCCCACAAUUUUCAAUACAAAUAACACAUGUAACAAAUAGUUAAGAAUAAAUUUAAAUAUUAAAUAAAUUUCCAGAUUUUUUUUAUCCUCAAUUUUUAAAUAUUAAAAAAUAUUCUCAAAUAUGUAACAUAUCGUAAUAAAAAUCUAAAUUUUCCUAAAUUUUUAAAUAAAUUUGUAUCCGGAUUUUUUUUUUUUGUUGAGAAAAUUUAAAAAACUUCUUUUUCGAAAAAAAAUCUGUUUUAAACUUCAAAAAAUAUAUAUUCCAAAUUUUCGAAAAUAAUUUGAAUUUUUUUUUUUGAAAUAUAUAUUUCAACAUUUUCUAAAAUAAUUUUAAAAAAUUUUGAAAUAUAUAUUUUUUCGUAAAUUAUAAAUUUUGGAAAAAUCCUGAUUUUUUUAAAUUUUUAUAUAUAUAUUUUUUAAAUAAAUUUUAAAAAAUUAAUUAUACAGUCAGCAUGCCACAUAAUCGUAUAUGCACAGUCAGCAUGCCACUCAGCUCGCCACGUCAGCAAUUAUGCACAGACACAUGUGUCAGGGGCUAAAAUCAAAGAAUCUUAUGUUACGGGGUUGGAAUCUAAACUUUUUUUUUUACAGGGGGAAAACCGGAACUCGCCCAAAUUAGAGGGGGGUAAAUACAUAUUAACCCUUUAUUAUAAGCCAUCUUAAAGAUAAAAAAUGAGUAAAUAGUCAAUUACCCCUGAAAUUGUAAGUUUCGUCAAUUAACCUCCUAAAAGUAACAAAAUGUCAAUUACCCCCCCUGAAAUUGCACAACGUUAAUCAAUUUACCCCCUCCGUCAAAUUUUUCUGUUAGUAAACAUGACGUUUUGCAAAUAUCCCCCCCUGAAGUUUUACACUUAUGUGCAAAAUGUCCCCCGAACUUGAAGAUUUAUAUAUUUUUUUCUUAUCCUUAACUCAAAGAUAUUAACGACAAGCAAUUAACAGUUAACUUUAAUACUUUACAUGGCUCUUUCAUUCUUAAAGGGGUCUGUUAUUUUAUUUUGUUUAUGUUAUGCCAUUUGGUUGUUCAAUUCUCCAUAAAUUAUGACUUAUUUAGAUAGAGACACGCCAAUUCACAACAAAGUAAGCUAGAGACACUCAUUCCUCAUGAAUAAUUAAUUCUAACAGUUUCUUAAGAUAAGUUUGAAUAAAAUUAUUCUAUCUUAAAAAUUGAACUAAACAUGCAUUUUGCUAAAGUAAUAUGAAGUUAUUAAUUAUGCGUUAUUUUUAGAGGAUAUAUUCUUAUUUUAAGCUUAAAUAUUAAAGUUAACUGUUAAUUGUUUGUCUUUAAUAUCUUUUGAAUCAAGAUAAGAAAAAAAAAUAUAAAUUUUUAAGUUUGGGGGGCAUUUUGCACAUAAGUGCAAAACUUCAGGGGGGUAUUUGCAAAACUUCAUGUUCACUGACAGAAGAAUUUGACGGAGGGGGUAAAUUGAUUAACGUUGUGCAAUUUCAGGGGGGUAAUUGACGUUUUGUUAAUUUCAAGGGGGUAAUUGACGAAACUUACAAUUUUAGAGGGAAAAUUGACUAUUUACUCGAAAAAAAAUGUUUUAGUUUUAUCAUUGAUGUUUUUUUUCUUCCUAUUGUACCUUUAACUAUUUAUUGCUUUUUCUCCAUUCCAUUCUUUUAAUCUCCUUUUCUCAUAACAUUAAUAAUGGAUAAUUCUUUAAAAAUCACUCAUAAUUUCUCUUUUCAAUACAAAAUGAAUUACAUUUAAUGUCAAAACAACUUAUAAUAAAAUAUGAAGAAAGUAAACUAGUUUUUUGAACUUGGGAAAGAGACUCGUCGUUAGAGCACUGCUUAGAACAUCCCUAACGGUGUUCCUCACUUUUGAACUCUUAAUCGAUUUUAUUAAUAACUCUGUAUUAUUAUAUUUCAACUACAAUUUAGUUAUUUUUUAUUAAGCUCAAACAAGUGGAAGACAUGUUUUAAUGUGAAAUAAUGGUUGUCCAUAGUGAGACUGUGUUUAUCUUUUAUAUCUAAUCAUAACUAACCUUCAAUCCUAACUGUCAACCCCUAAUUUAUUCAACCCUAUGAGCUUCGCGGCAAACCUUGCUUCUACACUGUACACAAAAAAUUCACAAUUACAUUCCCCAAAUCCUUGAUGUAUUCAAUUCACUAAAUAUCAAUAUUUAGUAAUACUCUUAAAAAUUCCAAAGGCAACUCCUGAUCUUUUAAAUUCCCUAAUCAUUUAUCAAUAUCAAUAUUCAUACCUAUCUAUCUUUCCCGAUCAAUUUUUUUUUUUGCAUAUCUCUCGGGAAGCCUUGAAGGUUACACAAGGCCCAAAGAAAUGGAUGCAGAAGCUUAAAAAGUACUUCUCUUUACCUCAAUAGAUGAUCUAUUUGACAAUAUACACUAUUGACUUAACAUAUUUUGAUAAUAUUUUUCUACUAAUUCACAAAAAUAAAUAAUAUCAUGUAAGAUGUUGUUGGAUUCGUCUCGAUGAAUAUUUUUAAAAUAUUAAAUUUUCAUAAUUUUUUUUAGUAGGGAGGGGAGUAAUCAACUUUCAUUACAAUCUUUUCUUUUUCCCGAGCUCUUUGAUUCGGUACAAUAUUCUCUUCCAACCAACUGUUUUCUCCCUUCCAUUCUUUUUCCUGUUUUUUUUCCUUUUCUCUCUCCUUCUUCUUAAUUUUUUUUCAACAAAAUUUUCUCCUUUAUCACAAUUUAUUUCUCAAUUUCACUCUCUCUUCUUGAAUCCCUUAAAAUCUCAAUCGAUUAAAGGUUAAGCAAGUGAGCUUCAUGAGAAAAAAAUCGGGUUAUUCUACCCUCUUUGUGGAGUCAAAAUCCUCUCCAUUUCCUCCAUUUAGAGAGAUAAAAACCCAUAAAAAGUAAAAAAAUAAUUAAUGAUAGUUGGACGAGUUGAUUUUGCUCCAUUUAUCCCAUUCUAAAGCAUAGAUUUGUGACAUGUGGCAAAAACAAAUUCAAAGGUAGAGAUUAUUCUGUACAAAAUAAUGAUUUAUUUAAUACAUAAAUAAAAAACCACGCUUUGCUUUCUCUCUCUGACAUACGAUUCCAUCUUCCUCCCAUCAUCAUGGCUGCUUACGCCCUUCUGCUCACCGGAAUCGUCACCGGCGCCCCCUUUCCUCUCGUCCCAGCACGAAUAUUCCCUUCUCCCUCUCCAUCGUAAUCCAGUUCUGGUUGUGCCUCUCUAUCUCUUGCAGACAUGUUGCAUAUCUUGGUUUUUGUUAUUAUGUAUAUAUAUAAUUGAGAGAUCUACGGUGUGAGGGGAAUUAAAUUAAACUAGGUUGAUUCAGCAAUACAUGCCUUAAAGCAAAGGCAAACCGAAUCGUAUCGGAAUCUAUUUAAUUUCUUAUUCGUUUUUCUUGAUAACAACACUUAUCUCCAUGGUGGUUGGGAUCAUCGAUGGCAUGAAAGGUGAGCGGCGGCAUCGACGGCGAGAGGAACAUGAGGGGUCACGAUGGAGUUCAUGUGAGGAAGAAGAAUACCAUGAAUCAGUCUCUAAAGGAUUAUCAGUGUUAAACUUAACAGGAUUGUCAAUUUAAAAAUCAAUUCAAUCCUUUGUUGUGAUUCUAAUUUUAAUUAAUUAAUUUGUUCUUCAAUUUUAGAAAGACUCACUGUUUCAAUUAAUUAAUCUCAUCAAAAUGUUCAUGUACUGUGAUAGAUUUUGCAAUGAAAUUGGGAAAUUGAAAGGGGAAUGAAGGAGGUAGAGGAGAAAGGGAUCAGGUGACAUAGAGUGAAGAAAGCACGUGAUGAUGUCUUUUAAUUGUAGCCUUUAGAUUUUUUUUGCCACAUGUCACAUAUCUGUGAAUUAAAAAGGAGUAAAUGGAGCAAUCAUAAAUGGAGCAAAGAUGCACUCUAGUUGGACACACUUAAUGACAGGAUCCACCACCUUUUUUUUUUGUCUAUCUCUCUCCAAAUUGCAUCUUCCAUUUAUUUUUAUAAAUGGAGAGGAUCUUAACCCCUCUUUGUGAGUAUAUUUAUGACUUUUCAUGGGUAUAAUUUAUAUAUUUAUACAUGAGUUAUCCUAACAAGUGUCCUUGUUAAAGAAACCAAAAGUACUUGGUUUGUAUAGAAUUCAGUAAUAUUUUAACUUUUAAAAAGUCAAAUUCAUAAUUUUUUACAAUUUUCUAAUGCAAUAUUUCUAUUUGUAUCUUCUUAACCAUUGCACUAAGAGCACUCAUUAGCAUCUCCCUUAUAAUAUUUACAUCUCAAAAGCAAUUUUAGUCCAAACAAUAAAAAUUGCUAAAAUCAUAUUUUCAAUGAAAAUUCACUUUUAACUAAAAUCAAUUCUACAUAAUCAAUUCAUUCAAAAUAAAUUUUCGCCACCACAAAACCAAACACAUAAUAAAUAGCAUGUCUAAGUUAAAAGACAUCAUAACUAAAAACUUUAAGAUAAUCGAGAAUUUCUAAAAUUUUAAACUUUAGGUACAUUUGACUUAUCAACUAUCUUUCUUGUAAGGGAAAUGUUAACGAGUGCCUCCGGAUAUUCUUUAAGACCUUUAAAUGGUAACUUUGUAUGAAAAUAUAUAUAAUCAAUGCAUUAAAAAUCGAAAUAUUUUGACUUUUUAUAAAAUAAUUUAUUCUUUUAGAAUCUUUAAAGAGGGCUCCUGAGGCCUUGUUAACAAGACCAUUUUGCUAAAAUGAUAUCUAGAAACUAAGGCUCAUGCCGUGAUCCGGUUCUAGACUUUAUUUUGCAUUGGACGGUUGGAGAACAAAUCCGGCUACUUUUCAGUUUCCCAAUAUCAACCCAAACACUGAGAUAUAAAUAUAGUAACAUAUUCCCUCUGUCCUUAUAUGUAAGCACUUUUUGCCUCUAAUAAAAUGGUGCUUGACGGAGGGAGUAGAAUUUAAUAAAGCAAUUUAAAGAUAUUUUUAGUCAUGUUUGUUGCGUUAAGCAAGCAAACCUUCUCACAAUAGAAUACCAUACAAUACCUACAAUUAAGUCAUAUACAUAAUCUUACAAACGCAAUGUUGUUGUAAACAUAACAUUAUUGUAGAAUAUGUUUGUCUUUGUAUAUACACUUAUCGUAUACCAUACAAGUCACUUAGACAUGGGUCACCUGAGAAAAUUUAGUCAUACAUAACAAAGGUUUCCUUGUAACAGCAAAGACUAUUUGUCGUAACUUGUCAGUAAUAUGUUGGUUCCCACUUUCUAGCGACUUACCACUUCCCUUCACAUAUAGAAUCAAAGUUCAUUUUGAUAAACCCUAGGAUACCAUGUUGGUUACUUCAUCAAGGUUAAGCUCCUAAAUAUGUGGCCAUACUUUCUUAUAUGAUUCAUAAAUCUAUAAAUUCAAUGUAUAGUAAUGCCACUUACAUUUAAAAGCAUAUAAUUAACUCACAAUUAAAGUCUUCGUAUCAUUUCACAAAGGAGUUUUAUUUUUAAAUACCCAAACAAUCAAUCUACAUCUUGAGAGAAAAAGAUAUAAUAUACUAAUAUAUGUGAUAGGUUGAUAACAUGAUAUGAAAUGAGAGAUGGAGAUAAAAUAAGGCGUUGAAUGAGUGUUGAAAAUUUAAGAAUGUUUAAAUAUAAGUGUUCUUUCAAAAACAUCGAGUAAGCAAGACAGAUCAUCAUUCAUGUCAAGAGACAUCACAUUGUGCUAAAAAAAAGGUGUGAAAAUUGAAAUGACAGUUAAAUUGUAACAAAUUAGUUUUUGUUUGUUUGUUAAAACAUCAUAUAAUAUGCGACCAAGUGAGUAUGUAUGAGAUAUAUGUAUAUGAGACCGAGGAGUAAUUAAAAGUGACAGCAACUGAGAGACAAGGAGAGAAACCCAUCUUGGAGAAACAGAGCACAUGCAAAUGAUUCGGUGGCAUAAGCAUUCUAGACACAACAGAGUUGCACGUGUCCUGCUUCUCCAACAAGGAGUUCUCAGCCUAUAUAAACCAUUACACCUCGAGUUUGAUGAAAGUUGAAGUGGAAGUUUAACUUGAACUGGGAAAAAUGUGCUCUAUACAUCGAUGCAAUUUUAUAGAGAUAUGAGGUAGGAAUGAAAUUAUUUAAGAAACAAUGUGUGUAGUUAAAGUUUUGGUCUCAAAAAAAGGAACACUCAGCCAGACCAUACGGCAUACCAUACCUCAUCAUGCAAGUACUACAAUACAUGCACAAAAAAAUCAAAGUUGCAAUGUCUAAGGAACCCAAAACGAAUCAUAUAUGUUUGUGCUUUAAGGCAACAAUUACAAACUCUUUGUUGAUUUGAGGUUCACUUACACUGUAACAAGGAAAUAAUCACAAGCCAUCUUAAUGUCUAUGUUCGUUUGAAUUGAGAAUAUUUGGGUCCCACGUGCUUACGGGCUAGCUCUAAUAAUGUACGGUGUUUGAUCCCUUUUCAAUUGCGUGGAAUUGCUGAUUUGUACGAGUGCACGUUGAUUUUGCGUGUUGAGUGCAAGUUUUUUAGCAUGGCAUAUGCAUAUAUAUGUGCACCUAUUAGAGGGAAAAGUUCGAACCAUUACCUUUUACCUCAAAGUUUUUGGUGGUUGAACAGAUACUAUAGAGUAUGAUAGAUUACAAGAAUUUCAAAGACACUAAUAAUAGCCGACAGAAAAAAAGUAAACAAUGAAAUGAAACAUUGGUUUUGGAUGACAUCUCCAUCUCUAUCUCUAUCUCUAUAUAUAUGUAUUUUAAACUACAUUUUGCUUAUGUGUCACUUCACUAAUAUUUUCUUUUUGUAACUAAUUUUUUAUACUUAUGUCAUGUGGCUCUCUUUUGUUCUUGAUUCUUUACUAGUCAUUUCUUACUAUCUAAUCUUUCAUUUCCCAUCAAUUGGAAAAACUCUCUAUUUACUUCACUUCAUGGAAGUUACACAAUGAAUGUAUUAUAAUCCAUUUUAUUAAUAGUGAGGGGUUUCAUUUUAAAAUUAUUCAUAUUCUUAGUCAAUCAUCUUACACACACAAGUUUACUAUAAAGCUCCUCAUUUUCUAAGCUCAUAUAUAUGUUGCUUAUGUUAUCCUUCUCAUUUCUUCUUCCAUUUCAUUUUUUUUUUUUAUAGUUUUGAUUCUCUCUUCAAACUUCGUGAGUGUGUGUUUCUAUCUAUAAUUUUUCGUAUUCUCUAAUGGAUAUUUUUUCUUUCAUUUAACAUACAUGUUUUGGAAAAAGGGAGAGUUUUGUUGAAAGGACACUUCAUAUAUGAAAUGGUGGUUGUAUUUUUUAUUGAAAUUAAAAUAUUUUUUCAUUAUCAUUUUUUAUUUAACAUUGUUAUGAGAUCAAGAGUUCACUAAACAUGUGGAAGGAAACAUAUUAAAAAAGCAUAAACAAUUAAUAUUUUUGUUAUUCAUUUUUAUUCCAAGCCAACAUGUGGUUGUUACUAUAACUAUUAGAUAUUUUUCCUUCUCAACUAAUUGCCAUAAGAUGGAGGAGGAUUUUGAUGAAGCUUACAAGAAACUCAAAACUCUCAACAUCAAAAAUCCUAAAAGGUCGAACAAGAGAAACUAAGAAUCUUUAUCCAUAGGUGUUGGUUUAAUUUGAUCAAGUAUCCGUGUCUUUGUAAUAAGAGAAAAAUACUCUUAUUAUAUUUUUAAUUGAAUAGUUUCUUAUAAGAUCAAGUAUCCUAGAUAACUAAUUGUAGAAGUACACAUCUAUUCAACAUUUGGUUUUGAAUCGAAUAGCAAUUUCCCGUCCUUUUUAAUUAUAUAUACAUUUACAUAUAUUUAAUUUAAAGCAUCAGAUUUUUUGUUGUAGAAGUUAUAUAAUUAGACAUUAAAUUGGUUUAAAUUAAAAAUAGUGAGAGAAAUCUUUACAGAGUGCCACAUUAGUACAAUAUUUCCAUGAGAACAAUGCAAGCUUAGAUUAUGUGAAGUGAAAAGGUGUUCUAAAUCAUAGAAAGUGGCAUGUAAUGAAAACCAGAGAGUGUCUAAUUGUUCCCUCACUCUUCACUUCUCUUUGACUCAUGUGGUAGUCACAAAUUAGUGGUUUUUGACACAAUCCUUAACUAUUGUUUAUUCUCACCCUUUAUUAUAUUUCUAUUAAUUCAACUAUGAAAUUCUACAGGCCAUUGGUAAGAUAGAGAAUUGAGAGAUAUAGAGAAUAAUGUCCCUAAAAUAUAAUAUGAUAUAGAGAAGGGUAAAGGAAAUUAUCCAAGUUACACAUAAUAGUUUGCUUAGGAUCCUAAAAAAAAAAAGUAGUUUGCUUACGGAAAACACUAAAUAAAUUUAUAUAAUAUAACAUAAAAUUUGUUGCAACCAAAAUAAAUUAAAACCAUUAACUACGAUCUCUAUAUUUUUAAAUUAGCUUUCUAAAAAAAAUUGGUGUCUAACUAUCUAUCUGCUAUAUAUAAAGUAAACUUGAGUUAUUUGUAGGCUUGAACUAUACCUAUGUGUAAGCUAUUAUAUUUUUUAAUAAAUAAUUGUGUAAGCUAUUUGUUUUUAAGAUUGAGGAAUUAUUGAAAUUAAAAAUGGAUAGAUUGAAUUUCAUUGGAAUAAUCAAUCUAUGAUGGAAAACAAAUUGGCCCUUCUUCCUCAGUAUAUCAAAGAACCUGUUAUAUAUGAGGAUUCAUCAAUCUUUGAGAAGGAAACUCCUUAUGGGUAUUUAAGGAAUAAGAAGUCUAAACUUAAAUUCAUUAGUAGGUCUCUUUGGAGAAAUCCAAUCAAUGUUCUAUUGAGGUAGUGUUGUUCAAAGCUAGGAUGGUGAGACAAUUUACGUGCACGAAAUCAAUUUGGAAAUAUUUCAAGAUUGUUUUUUCAACAUUUUAUUGUCUUUCCCUAUCAUCCAUUGGAGGUAUCUAAUGGUUGGUUCAAUAGAUCGAGAGGCUACUGCAGAGAUUACAGAGGGAGAGGAUCCGUUCACUUUUUUUUCUCACUCUAUCUCUUCAAUCAAAUUGAUGACUCUUAUGUCUUCCAAUCUUUUCUUAUAUUUUGAACACUCAAGAAGUUUUUUUUUUUUUUUUUUUUAUCAGAUUUGUUCUUCUAUUUUGUACUUUAAAUUUUUAACAAUGUUAGUGAUCUUAUUUUUAGAAUUUGAACACUUUGUGGAAUUAUUAUUGUAGGCAACAAAAUUUUAUUUCCUAAAAGGUUAGAUAUUAAGUACUAAUUCUUCAAAUUCUCUAAUUGGUCAAUGAUAUAUAUUUCAUUCACACGUUAUACUUGAGUUCAUUCAUGUAUGAAUUUCUCUAUUUCGUAGUCAAAUCCUUUUCUAGCUUAUGUGGCAACUUUACAAAACUAUACUGCUUUUCUUUUAUAGAGAUAAAAUUCUACUACUAAGAGCAUAAUUAUCGGUGCAAAAACACUGUGGUAUAACUUGGCCAAAUGAAAAUGUGUCAGAAAGCAACUGAUAUUUGACAUGCAAGCAAAUAGCAAAGCUCAAGAGAGUGGUAAUGCAGUACCACCCACUUUUAAGUGACAAAAGAUUACUUUUGAUUAUUUUUAUCAAUUGAUAGGUGAGAUUAUUAAUUAGUAUAAUGUUGGUAUUUAAGGUAUACUGUUAUUGUAAGAUAAAAAAGAACCAUUUUAGAGUUUUAGAGGAGUGGUAUGAAUAUUUAGAAAAUGUAGUUGAGUGGGUUAAAUAAUUGGGAAGUGUAAAGUAAUAUAAUAUAUUAUGUGGAUCCCAUUUAUACCAUCCAUUUGGGUGGCAUGGAUGUGGUUGCUCUGAUAUGUCAUCUCUAUAAAACUCCUUAUUUUUGUUAUCAAUUAUAAACUUUUAUAUUUACUUUAUAAUAAUCAAACAUCUAACGACACAUAAAAAAAUGGAGGGAGUAAUAUUUUUACUAAAAACUAUACAAUGAUAUAUAUGAAAACAUUUGAUUUUUUAUAAAUUGAGUUAUUUCAUUUAAAUAAAAUCAUUUAUUUGACUCAAGUUAGAAUAAAAAUUUUAUAAUAUCAAAUUAUAAUUUAAUAUCGACAAAUUUUUUUUCUUUCUAAAAUCUAAAAUAUGUACAAAUAAAGGAGAAAAGGAAGUUAUAAACUAAACAAGAUAAAAAGAUAUAAUAAUUCAAUUGAUUUCUAACACAAAUGGAUGACCCAUUAUCUAUAUUCAAUAUUCACUUUAUGUGGGAAAAAGUUUAAAAAUAUUUUGAAAGUCGUAUAUUUUAAAUAAAAAAAGUUCAAUAGACCAAUAAAAUUUGUUUUUUUAGAAAGACCAAAAAAAUUUAUUAUUUCCAAUAUAUUAAAGAAAAUAUUAUAAUCAAAACCCGUGCAACGCACGGGUUAUAUAUCUAAUAUAAAUUUAAGACAAACGUAAUACUCAACCAUUUAAAUUGUUUGAGUUUCAUCAUGCAUUUUAAUGCAUGUACGAUUCUCCUGCAAUAAUGAAUAGUAUUAGUGACCAUCUCCUCUGUUCAUAGCGGAUGGUGAGGUCUAGUAGUCCACACUCCACAACAUGCAAGAACCUAUGUCGUGCAACAUUGGUUUAAAUAUUAGAUAGAUUAUUUGUGAGGAUUUCUCCAUAGAUUAACAAUUUUAGGGUACAUGUUUGAAAUGUAACCAUGUUAUAAUGACAAACUUGAGCAAGUAGGCACAAACCCAAAUAAAAUUUAUGUGGCACACACACAAGAUUGAUAAAAUUUAAAAGAGAAAUCAUAUUAAGUGAUGUGACUAAAUUAUUUCUCUUUUAAAUUUUAUCAUUCAAGUGAGUAUGUCUAAAUACUUUUGAUUUGAUUUGGGGUUGUGCCCAACCAACUGUUUCUCGACAAACUUAGCAUGUCAAUACAUGUCAGUUUCUGAAACUCAAACAUUUUGAUUAGGUAAAUACUUCACGGCCAUCUUAAAACACCAUGUAGAGUAUUUUUUUAAAGUAAUAUUUUAUAUUUGGACACCUUUUUUUGAAACACCUAUAAGCAUACAUUCAACACUUCACACCUUUUCUCUUUAUAUCACCCGCUUACCACCAUACCUCUCUCUCUCAAGGUGUUGGAUGGUUUUGCGGGUGGACAUAAAUCAUUUUCUUUUAUUAGCGUCGUUUGGAAUUGUUAUCACUUUAAGAUGAUGGUCAUGCUCUUUUUUCUUUGUCAUACGUUUUUACCUUGUUGUACAAGAAAUUGAGGUAGUUUCUUGACGAGGUCAUUAUCAAAUCUAAGGACUUGCGUAAUAAAUAUUGGCGUGUGCAUCUACGUAGCAAAAGCUUUAUUUGGUGACACAUUUAUUAUUCAAAGGCUUAUGAAUCUUAAGCAUGCUCCCCAAAACAGCUAAAGAUCUGCAGCAGUGAAUGUGUUUUUUCACUACGCCAUUGCCACUGAGAAAGGAACAGCAACCCAACAAAAAAACAGUUUCUUGCGUGUACAUUAAAUUUGGAUAUUAAUAAAUCUCUCAAUACAUUUGCUCCAAUCCAAACCUUAAGUUAACGCCAAACCUUCAAAAAUCUGAUUUUUAUUCCAUUUUUUUGCCAAUGUAACUAAAAAUAAUCACAAGAGGAUAGCAAUUCACAAGAUAACUUAAAAAGUUGCAUACUUAAGCAAAAAAGAGAUCAUGUAUCUAGUUACUCUUCAUCCAGUAAAAUAACUAGGGAAAUCUCCCCCAAACAAGAAAAAUGCAUGACAAAUCCAGAAAAUGUAAAAUAAAUUUGUCAUAGAUAAACUCAAACCAAAUAGUAAUUUACCAUAAUAAAAAAAGAAAGCAAUUUUCCAAAUACAGAUUUUUAUAAGAAUGUUAAAGUUAGUGCACUAACUACAAUCAUACAAGAACCAAGGCUGCUACGGGUAAACAGCAAUUAAGAAAAUAAACUAUGGAUUAACAACUCUAUGCGAAGAUAUAUGAUUCCUGCCUUUCUUGCACCAUAAGUUGAAGAAAUCAUUGUCUAUUUCUUUGCAUAAGUUAUCAACAUAGGGUUUUGUGGGGCUAUCUUGAAACCUUGCAGCGCCUGCAUAGCCACCGUGGAUUGCAUCUCAUCUCCAUAUUCCACAAAGGCAAUUCCUGGCUUUGCUUCAACCAUUCUAACUUCCUUGAAUCCAGGAUAUUGAAGAAACAACAUUUGAAGCAUCAUGGGAGUGGUCUCGUUAGGAAGAUUCUGAAUAAAGAGAAUAUUAUUUGGUGGUGCAGGAGCCUCAGGUAGCAAGGACUUCGCACCGCCUGGAUAAGGUAUCUGGGAUAACUCCAUUAUUAGAAAAAGUGUGUAACAAAUGCAGAAUAAAAUUGUUUGUGCUUCUAUGUAUUAUAGAAUAAUUUGCUUUGAAACAGAUAGUGUCAUCUCAUCUUCAUUAUUUUGAUUCCGGCUUUGAUCAUAAAACUUAACAGUUCGAGAAAAAUUACCAUAAAACAGUUAAAAUUAUGAAGAUGCUAGAUUCAAUGAGACAAAGGUCCAGCACAUUAAGAUGCCUAUAAAAUGACCAUUGACAAAAAUAAACUACAACAGCAGAGAAACUUACAGCAGGAGUUGCACCGUAAGCACCAGCAUAAGCAGGAUUUAGGCCAGUUCCAGCUAAAUUAGCAUCGUUUUGGUCCUUCCUUUUUUUGCCCGCUGAAAAAUGUAAUUGGAUAUGUAAUUUGACUAUGUAUAUUUAUUUAUACAGUACAUAAUACAGAUAUUCAUUAAAAGAGUUGCAUCCAUACUAGACACGAAAAGUCAAAAGUAUAGCGAAAGUCUGUUCUUUGCUGAUGAAGGAAAGCAAAAAAAAAUAUCAUUUAUUGGAUCUUUUCCUUCUUCAUUAUUAAUGCAAAGCCCCUUGGCGACCAAACCAAACAAAAACCCCCACCAACACCAAAAAAGAUAAAACCUAUGAAAUAUAUUGAUUGGCCUUUUGUAGCCAUUAUUGGGCACUCGGUGAGUUGGACCCUCAUUUUGAAGAGAAAACAUGCUUAGUUUAGUUUGUUUAUUUCCAAGAUGAGCUUACACUUAACAGUACAAUAUCCUUUAAAAAAAAAAUAGAGAGCUCAAAGAGUUAUACCUUUGUCAUCGUGCCUCUUUCGUUUUUCCCGAGGAACAAAAGUACCGUCUGCUUUUGCUAUGACAUCAGAUUUAGUCCUGGCAUACUGUAUUCUCUGCAUAGAUUGCAAAAUUGAAUUCAAUUUCUUGCCUGAGAAUAGUUUUAUGGAAAUGAUAUAAACUAACAAACUAUUACAUAUCCGAUGGGGCCAAACAGGCCAAACAAUAAGUUGUCUAUAUCCCACAUUGAGUAGUAUAGAAUGCUCAGUGGUGUACUUGCGUGACCUGGUGCUUCCCCUUUGAUAGAUAGCUUUUAAGGGAGGGUUUCCCAAGUGCUUAGAUACUGAUUAAUUGGUAUCAGAACUGGUCGUCAGUUGCUCGUAAAGAGCUACCGACAGAGGAGCUGAGCGGAAAGGCCGCAUAAAGCGCUGUAGUAUGCCAACCCGUCAGGUUGUCAUCUCUCUCAGGGGUGGUGCUACAAUAGAUUAGAGAUUUGUUAUGGGGUGCCCACGUCCCACAUCAAGUAGUAUGGGAUGUUUGGUGGUGUAACUAAGUUGUUUGGUUCUUCCCCCUUGAAUCUUGAUUGCUAGCUAAGGGAAGGUUCCCUAAGUACUUGAUACUUGUCUAAUUGUAAUAAAAUUAAUUUUUCAUGAUAAAUUCUACUUUUAACUGAUUUAGCUGUAGACCAAAAAAAUCUAUUUAGCAUGGGGAAAAUGGAUAGAUAUUAAAUAAAAAAUUCAUUAAAAUUUUGCUGAAGAUUUGAAAAAUAUAAAACAGGUCUAGCCAGCACGAAAAAUAACACAUAUCACAGGCUAGCAUAUGACCAAUUAAAAUAAAGCUCCAGCAGCACAAAUCAAGCAACGGUUAUUGGAGCACGCACUGAUAGAAAGCAUUUUUUAUAGCUUCAAAACACUCAGAUAGAACUAACUGCAAAUCUCACCAUGUCACACCAUCCAUUAAGAUAGACCAUAAAUCACAUAAUUUUAUUUUUCUGUGCUAAAUAAAUCUACAAUAUAAUUUCAUCCACAGAAUUGUGACAAAGCUAGCUCAAUAGAACCAAUUAGUAGUUGUUCACAACAAAAGUGGACUGUGACUUCAUGCAAAUUUUACUUCCAAUGUCAGAAAUAUAAAUCUUUGAAUCACGACUUUGGGGAGGACCAACCCCCCCCCCCCCCACAAGCAUUUUUUAUAGCUUCAAAACGCUCAGAUAGAACUAACUGCAAAUACCAUACAUCGCAUAAUUUUAUUUUUGUGUGCUAAAUAAAUAUGACCACUGGAACUAAAUCAGUCCUUGGCAUCAGUUUUGCUAUUUCCUAGCGUCCUACACUAUGUCUAAAAUCCAUUAUCCUUCCAAGAAAAACAUCUUCCUAUUCUGUUCAAUGAGGGUAGGGGAGGGACUUGAAGCAUGUCUACAACAACAACAAAAAGCAAACUUUAUCCCGUUGGCUACAUGGAUCAAAUUACGUCAUAAUGUUCUAUCAUAAAACAUAUUUUGAUAACUCGUUAAUCUCUAAAUCUUUCUUAAUAGUUUCUCUUAUAAUUUUUCUAGGUCAUCCUCCACCUCUAGUGAUCUGAUAAAUAGUUUCUCACAUCUAAUAAAGAUGAUUUAUUCCAUAAAUAGCAUAGAACACAAUAGUCACAAUUGCCACAGUGCCACUCAUCACAAGACAAUAUCAAUUGACAUGUUUAAACAGUUCUCUUCUUCCUUCCGCAUUUUCAUUUAGAAAGAUCAACAUAAUAUCUAUAGAAGAGACACGACUGGAUACUAAAUAAGCAUUACACAUUUACACCGAAACAUUCUUUUUUGUUUUCACAAAUCCAAUGGCAUGUUAACUAUUCUAAAUCUCCAAACAAAUUUCAGCUAGAGAAACCUAUGUCAUGUUGAAGAUUGUUAUAUAUUCCAUUCCAUUCCAUGUUUAAUAAUAACUAGCAUUGUCAUAAAUUAGAAUGAAAUUACACCCUAAAAAUUCUAACUAAAAAACUAAUCCUAAUAAAAAAGAAAACACCUUAAAUUAAAUUAAAAAUACGAAGUAAAACACAAUUUCAAAUUUGAAAAGUGAAAUUGAAGAGCAUAUGAUAGUACCAUGGGCUUAUCAUAGAAGGGGAAACCUUGCAUUUACCUAAGAGCAUUAGAAGCAGAAGUAACAUCCUCAAAAAUCACCCAAGCUUGACCCUUAUGUUUCAGAGUCUUGAAAGCCAAAACCUCAAGUAUCUUCCCAAAUUGGCUGAAAACAGCGUGCAAAGAUUUCUUCAACUCUGCAUCAAAAUUGAAGUAUAUAAAUAAAAAGAGUAUAUAAGUGUAUCUAUAUUGAAAAAUUGAUGUUAUGAAAAAAAAGAACGAACCAUCGAUUUUGAUUUUUUCGUUGAGGUUGUUGAUGUAGAUGGUCAUGUUUUGAGGGGGUUCGGGGUUAGCGUUAACUUCAGCCAUGUAUUAGUUGAGAUUUCGAAGAUGAAAGAGAGAGUGAGGUUCUUCACGACGGGGGUAAGGUAAACCCUAUAAGCCACUGCCGGAGAAGCUGACCUGUGUGCGACGAGUGUUUUUUUGUUUGAACUAUUUUGGGCUUUAGGCCAUCUUGUCAUGUGGGUCUAUUAAUAUCAACCCCAAUUCAAUAUAAGCUCGAAGUACAAUUUGAGAAAAUUGUUCUUUAGACACCUAGCAAUUACUCACAACCAUCUUACAAAUCCAAAAAUGCUCUCCACGCUAGUUAACUACCAUUCUAUCUUGAACGGUCAAAAAUUACUGUUCCGGUGUUGCCAUAUACAUAAUGUAUUUUGCUUGGUUUUUCAGUUUUUUUGGGUAUAAUUCCAUCGGAACAAGAGUUAAAUGUCAUUCAUGAGCGAACCGUAAGUUAACUACCGUUCAAUUUCUAUUUUAAAGUGCUUAUGAACGAUUGAUAGGGGCCUAAAGAGUAAUAUUCACAUGUUUAUACAAAUUUUUACUAGUAAUAUAAAGGCAGCAUAAUAACAUUAUGAAAACCUAUGAAUAUUUUUUAAAAAAUCAACACUAAUAUACUAUUUUUAUAAAAUAUUGUUUAUUUUGUAUGUGAAAAAUACUUAAAACGUUUGUGCCAUGUCCAUCUUAGAUUUUAUGUGUUUGUAUCGGAAAGAUUUGCUUUUUAUGUCCCAUUAAUUUGUAUUUGGUACAUAAAGUCGAUACCGUUCAUGUUCGUCUUGUGCAUGAAUUUGGUUAUUAAUAAAUUUCGCCGUUUAAAAAGAAAGUUGAUACAAUAAAAAUUUUAAGGCUAAAAUAUGGUUUUAGUCCCUGCAAAUAUGCCCCAUUUUGGUUUUAGUCCCUGUAAAAAUAAAAUUUUGUUUUUGGUCCCUGCAAAAUUUUUUGAAAUAUUUUACAGGGACCAAAAACUACAAAAUUGGUUCAGUUAUAACGUGCCACGUAUGCAAAUCAUCACAAAAGUGGGGUCAGAGACUAUUUUCUAAAACAAUUUUUUGCAGUGACCAAAAACAAUUUUUUUUUUAUAGGGACUAAAACCAAAACGAGACAUAUUUGCAAGGACUAAAACCAUAUUUUAGCCAAAUUUUAAAAACUCGUGAGUAUUUUCCAAAUACCAACAUUAAUGUGGUAGUUUUUUUGUAAAAUAUUAGCAUUUACACUUUUCUCGUUGUGGAUUUUAAGUGUAUAUAUAUAUAUAUAUAUAUAUAUAUAUAUAUAUGUGUGUGUGUGUGUGUGUGUGUGUGAGAGUAAGAAUUUUUAAAAAAUAAACGAAAAUGUGAGUGAUGAUGUAUUAACAAAUCUUGAAGCAGGUCAAGUAUAAUCUGCGUAUAGUAAAAUCAAGGACUAUUAUAGUUUUUGUCCACUUAUUUUCACUUAUUAACAAAAUUAGUUACUCCAUUUUAAAACAACGUAGUUUGAUCCCUCUAUCAGAUAUACGAUCUAAUGAUGUAGAGUGAUCAACUAUAAAAAAAUUAUAAGAAAACUUAAAAAAAUUCACUAUUUAUUAAGUACAAAAAUUUAAGGAAAGCACCAAACUAUAAUUUUAAAAUGAAAGGACCAAUUUCCUAAACCAAGAUUGUUCAAAUUUAAGAAUUUUCUACCAUGUAAUGUUAAAUGGGUUAUUUCAGACGGUUUAUUAAAAGAAAUAAAAGAAAAUAAGUAUCCAUAGCUAACUAAACUACAUGCACCAAACAAUUUUCCAAAGAUAUUUCUCUCGAAUGGAAUGAAAUGAGUUGGAAGGUUCUCCUCCAAAUGCCUAAUCGACCAAUUAUAGUUGUCCACAUCUAAUAUCUAUACAGUUGUUGUAACAAUGAUGAACAAGUUUCGUGGAAGUAUCUUAGACUAGAGAGAGCCAAGUCAAAAAGCAAGUCCAGAUUCAGCUCACUCACUUGUUAAUUGUGUUAUUCAUUUCAUCCACCGCAAUUAAUUGACUCCACCAUGACUUGUGAUUCACGACCUGGUCUCCCUCCCACAAAGCCACCCCACGCUCCCAGGUCCCACCUUUCACAUAUACUUUUCCACCGUUCCUUCGAUUGUCUUUUUCGCCGCCCUUCCUUCCACUUUAUAUAUUUGGAAACUUCUUUUCCUCAAAAUACUCUUUCUUCCUAAGAAAUAAACAUUAAAACCAAAAUUCCAGAAUAUUCAAUAAAUUAAUAGAAUAAAAUUAUUUAAAAUCAGAUUUGAUUUUUUGUUUGAAUUUCUACUACCACGUGGCAACAAAACAUAGGUUACAUAUUAAUGAUGAUUUAGUUAUAAUCGUGCACCUAAAUUAUCUCCGUAAUUAUGCGUGACGCGUCCUCAAUUUUCUCAACCUUAUAUAAUGCCCCCUACUCACCUAUUCUUCACACAACAAAACUCUUUUCUUUUCUUAGCUAAGGUGGCACAUAGUCCAUAACAAUAGCUUAGCUUAAACUGUGGAAAGCUUAUUCUGUUCAUAACUGCUUAUAUUUUGUUUUUCAAAUCAAACAAAUAAGCUUUCCGUAGUUCAAUAUGGCUCGUUCUUUCGCUAACGCUAAGGUUUUAUCUGCUGUUGUCCUUGAAGGAUUCUCCAACACUCUCACAAGGUACGGUGUUUCUUCAUGUUAUGUUUUUUAACGUUCUUAUGUUUCUUAACCUCAGGGUUCAAACACCUAUUUCUUAACUUUAAAUUUUAAUGUUUUGAAUGAUAUUGUUUUAAUAUAUGGUUUUUUUUUUUUUUAAUCAAUUAAACAGGCGUGGUUACGCGGCGGCAACAGAAAGUGCAACAAGGGUAGUAGGAGGAGUGGUGUCUGUUGGCAACAAGAUGGGACCCACAAAGUCUGGGGAAGAUGGUUCUUCGACUUAUAAGGUUUCAUGGGUUCCAGAUCCUGUCACUGGUUACUACAAGCCUGAGAAUAUUAAGGAUACUGAUGCCGCUGAUUUACGUGCUAAGCUUCUCCGCAAAAAAUUUAACAACUAAUUUCAAUCCAUUCAAGAAAUAGAUUUAUAUUAUGUAUUUUGGGUUUGUUAUUUCAACCGCGGAUCUCAUGAGCUUUUGGGGUCGAUUGUAGAUGGCUUAUUAAAGCCUUGAUUGAUUCUGUUAAUUGUGAAGAUCCUACUCUGUUGGUUUAUUCCUCUGUUUAUUCACUUUGUUAGUGUUUUUGCGAACCAGAAGAAUGAUGAUUAGUUGCUGAUCAUAAGUGUUAUGGUGUCUUCUAGUCUAAUUCAAUGGAAUUUAUUUUAGGUUUUUUCUAGAUUACCUUUGAAGUUUGAAGAAUGGUGGGUAAUUUAUUGGUAGGGUCAAGAUAGUUCAUGGAUACCACUUAAAAAUGUGUUUAUGUGGCUAAUGUGUAUUGGUUGAGGUAAAUUACCUACCAUUCUUCCAUGGGUAUUCUAGUUGUCACCUUUAUUUUAUGAUUAAAUAUGUUUUUAAUCCUUAUAAAUAUACCAAUUUUUCGUUUUAAUCCCUCUAAAAAUUUCCUUCAAUUUUUAGUCCUUAUAAAAUUUUCAAUCAGGUCCCUAUAUUUAAGUUAAUUUUUGUAUUUUUAAAUGAAAUUAUGCAAAAAUGUUAAUAAUAUUGUAAAAAAAAAUUCCCAAAAAAAAACUAGAAUUUUUUAGCAAAACACAAAUUAAAUAUGAAUUUUUAACCUUCAAAAAUAUAAAAAUUCAUAUUAAAUUCAUGUUUAGUUAAAAAAUUCUAAAUUUUUUUGAGAGAGAUUUUUAUAAUAUUAUAAAUUUUUCUGAAAAAUUUCAUUAAAAAAUAUUAAUUUUAUAUAAGAGUUUAUUUAAAAGAGGGGCCAAAAAUGAAGAUGAAAAAAUUUUAAGGAACUAAAAGUUGAAGGAAAAUUUUAGAAGGAUUAAAAUGAAAAGUUGGUAUAUUUAUAAGGACUAAAAACAUAUUUAACCCUUUAUUUUAUUUUUAAUAAUUGGUUUUAGUGUUUGCUCAAAAAAGAAAAGAAAAAGAUAAUAAUAAAAGAAUACUCUCUCCUUCAAAAUAACAGGUUAAGAUCUUAUUCAUUUGCUAAAAAUUAAUGGACAAUGUCAUUAGUCAUUGGUGAGACAACAAAAAGUAUAUAGUGGAUUCUUCAUUCAAAAAAAAAUAAAAAAUAUAGUAGAUUCUAGUAUUAAGUGGACACUACUAUUAAUUACUCCUUCUUUGUGUUUUUUAUCUCACCAAAAUAACACCGUUUGUGCACGAUUAGAUUAUGGAGAAUUGGUUUAGCUACUUAGAUAUUGUACAUGGUAAAAAUCAAAAUUGCUCAUCAAACUACUAAGAUACUCGCUUCUAACAUACACAAUUGGAUCACUAUUAUAAGCAAAAUUUUGUAUUUUAGAUUUAUUCGAUAAAUGAUAUAUGUGACAAUACAUAUAAACAUAUAAAAAGUCAUGGUGAGGUUAACUCAAUUAGUAGUGACAAUAUAAAAAUAACAAUUAAAUCAUCAAUCGACUAUUCAUCGCAUGUACUAUACAUAUAAUUGAUACAAAAACAAUAAUAAAACAUAACAAAUAAAAAAAGUUAAGUUUCGUGACCGAAAAAAAUGUUUAGCAUGGAAUAUUUUUUUGUUUGUUUGAAGGAAGCACAGAAAAAUAAAUUUAAAUAGUAUAAAAUCAUAUUAAAUGGUAAAAGUUAAUAAAACAAAAGAAAUUUAUACUCUUUAAUAAAAAACGAUACGACCCCUCUCAUCGAUAAACUAGUUUAGACAUUAACUUUUUUUUUUUGUAGUGAUUGGAAUUUGAACCUCGGACCUUGCAUAUUUUAUGCAUUGUCCCAACCAACUGAGCUAAGCUCACAAAGACAGUUUAGACAUUAACUAAUUAUUCUAAACAUAAUUAGAAUUUAAUUAAAUAUUCAGUGGAAAGGAUCAAGGUAUAUGUUGUUAUUUAUGCUGAAUAUAAAAAACAAUUUUAAAAAAUAAAAAGUAAAAAAUUGAUAAUUUGAAUAAAAAGUUAAUGUAAAUGAUGAAAGUAAUAUAUAUAUGUAUAUAUAUAUAUAUAUUGUUUUCUUUUUUAGAGAGUAAUAUAUAUACCUUUUGUUUAGAUAGUAAAUUCAGUCCCCGUGAGUGUAACGUCCACUUUCGUUUAAUUAUUUAUUUAAUCGAGUUUAAGCGAUUAUAUUAUAUUUUUAUAAUAUAUGUGUGAGUUUUGUUGAUUAAGAUGAUUCAAGUUGAUUUGGAUAAUUUGAUGUGUUUUGAUAAGAUUAUGAGACUUAUUUUAUUGUUAAAUAAAAUAAAGAUUUGAAAAUAAUAUAAAAUAUUUAGUUGAGGGCUGUUUUGAUAUUUUAUGUAGUUUUGGGGGAGAAAGUGAGAUAAGAUAAGAAAUUAGGAAGAGAUAUAAAUAGGGAAGACCUAAUUGUUAGAAAAACUAUUGUACGUGAAAACUUUUGGAAAAGGGAGAAAAAGCUUAGAAGGGAGAAGAUCAAAGAGAGAGCUGCGAUUUCUUCAUAACCAAGUAAGGGUGAGAAUAAUAACUCAGUAAUGUUAAUUAAUUGUAAUUCUGAUGAUUAGUUAGCAAGCUUUAGGAUUGAAUUGGAGAAAAUGAAAACUAGGUCAAAUCCCUAGAAUUGAUGAUCAAACGGUAAGAAUUGGUUAAAUUGAUAUAGAAAGUGCUCCUAGACCAUAGAUAAUGUUUAGGACGAAUUUUGGAAUCAAUAUUAGGCUUAGAACCAUGUGAAUCGCUGAGUUUUUGUGAAAAUAGCAGGUCUGGACGUAGCGACAAUCAUCGCUAGCCACGGCGAGCUAUGAAUCUCGCCUCGCGAGAGAUGAACAUUCAUCGCUCGCCUCGCGACCCCUUUUCCCUCGCCUCGCGAGUUGCACAAUGCAGCUCGCCAAAGCGAGCAACCUAACUCGCCAUAGCGAGCUAGGGCAGAGAGCAUGUAAGAUUUUGAAAUUUCGACUUUUUAGUUGAACCUUGAGUGCCUUUGAGUGCCUGAACAUACCUAGUAAUGAUUAGGAAUGAAUGUAGGACAAGAUUGAACCUAGAACAACAUUAGUUGGGAAGUUGGCUUGUACUCGCCUCGCGAGCACUUCCAGAUUGGAGUGCUUUGAGUGUUUGUGUGAUCUGUGUCGCACGUUUUGAUCAAGAGUGAACCCCUAAUUGGUAAUGAAACCUAAUGAUGACGUUUAAUGCAAUCUGUAAGGCCGUUUAAGAUAUGUUGUUAUUAAUUGAGUAUGAGUUAAUGUAUUAUGCAUUAUGUAAGAUAUGAAUGAAUAAUUAUGAUGCUAAUGAAUUGCAAUUGAUAUAUUGAUAUCAUCCGUUAUUGUGACUUGACUAUGCUGCUGCUGUUAUUUAACUAAGUGCAUAAUGUCUAUAUAUGAUGAAUAAGAUGACGUUUAGCUCCAAAUUAUUGGAUGCAUAUUGAUAUGAUGAUUACGAUGUUUUGUUGAUAGAGUCCAUGCAUUAGCAUUCAUUGAGCUUAGUCCUCACCAUGAUAGGAGCUUUGUCCUCCGCACGUUUAAAGUAUAUUAAUACUUAUGAUGACGAUUGGUACCACAUGCAUAUAAGGAGUCUAAGAGCAUUGUCGCAUUGUCGUGUCCAAGAUGCUAUGUUGUUGAUGAUGAUUGAAUAUGUGAUUAUGUGAUAAUUGUUUAUCAAAUAUGCAAAGUUGUUUAAGAUUGAUAUGAUGUUAAUUAUGAUUCAAAUUACUUUGAUUAAUAUUAUUUUGUUAUGAAAUCUCACCCCUGCUGCUUGAAAAUGUUGCCCUUCGUAUGGGUAACUUGCAGGUGAUCGUGCUUAGUGUGCAGUUGCCGUCGUGAGUGGCCUUGCCUUCACUGUGUCGUCUAGGUCGCUCUCAUACGUAACGGGAUGGGGCUAUAUGUUAUGCAUGCUUCGUUCUAUUACGUGAAAUAUAUGCUAUUUGUGAUAUUGAACUAACUCUUUGAGAUUAUAUUGAUGGGGCCUGUGUGCCAAAGCGUUUUAUGGAUUAUGAAAUAAUUUCCGCUGCAAUGUUUAAGAUAUUUGGUUAAAUUGUUAUUUAACUGUUUUGGAUUUUUGUUAAAUGUGAUAUCCCGUUUGUUUAUGCUGUUUACUCUGAUAAAUGUUUUAGAAAUUUUUAUGUUGGGAAAACGGGGUGUUACAGUGAGCAUAACUCAGUUAGCAGGGACAUGCAUUAUUAUAUGCAAGGGUCGGGGUUCGAACCCGAACACCCCACUUAUUCACCUUGAAAAAGGUGAAUUCUAACCACUAGGUUACUUGACAAAAAAAAUGGUAAAUUCAAGUCCUCGUGAGCUUAGCGCAGUUUGUAAGGACAACGUAUAAUAUAUGCAAGGUAUGAGGUUCAAACCUCGGCCACCACUGAAGAAAAUAAUAGUAAAUUCAAGGAGAGAGCUCAAUUAAGUCUCUCACCAAUAGAGUAGAAAAAAUAUACCGUUAAAUUUAAUUAAUGAUCGAGAUUCAUUAAAAUCAAAAGUAAAAACAUUUACAUAUCAUCACACACAAAUUUUCUUUUAUCAUCGUCACCAAGAACAAGAACACACAAGUGUAAAUUAUGCAUCAGAAACAUCAUGAUCACCAAUAGGGUUGGGAAUAGGCCAUGCCGAUCUACAAGGGUCUACGACCUGACCUGUUUUGGCCUGGCCUGUCCUGUUUAGUAGACAAGCCUAGGCUUAGGCUUUUUAGAAAGCAUGUUUAGUUAAAUAGGCCAGGCCAAGGCUUCGAGAAAAGCCUGUUAAGCCUAAUAGGCCGACCUAUUAAUACCUAAUUAUUAAUUAAUGUUUUUUUUAUAUCAAAAUAAUUGCAUACAUUAAAAAUAUAAACAUUUUUUCUCUAUCUAUGAGACCCUUAAUAGGCUUUGUUGUUAUAUGCUUUUAAGUAUGUUUUAAGGCUUGUUUAGUCUAUUUAGUAGGUCAAAUGACUAUUUGAUGACCUUAAUGAAAAGUAGGCCUGGAAGUAGGCUUUCAGGGCAGUCCAGACUUUUAAAUAGAUCAGGUCAAACCAAGAAAAACGGUCUAUGAUAGGCCAUAGACUAGGCUUAGGCCUGUAAUUUUUUUUGUAUACCAAGGUCAGGCCUAUCAAAAUCUGGCCUGGCCUAUUCGCACCCCUAAUCACCAAUUUGGCUAACAUUCAUCAUCAUCAUCUAUAGGAGUUGGAAGAUUUUUAGAUCCAAACUUCACAAAAUUUCAAACUUUACAAAAAUAAAAUUUGAAAGAAAAUAUUUUUAUCCAUAGAUGUAACCGUAACCGUCAUCCAAUAUUAGUAUGUUCUUGUACGUUCACCAAGUGUUUCCCCGAUGAAAAUUCUUCGAAACAAACGGGACUUAUAAAUUUUAUUUUCAAUAACAUGAGAACAAAAACCUUGAUCAUCAUUAAUAGGUAUAGAUAAUAGAUAUUUUGCACUGCACUUUCAUAUUAUAACAAAAUAUAUUUAUCCUUUCAAUGAAACUAACAAUAUAACAAAUAUAUAUAAUAUCUUUAAAAAAAUAUAAUAUAAAUUCUUAUAUUUUUUAAUGACACCAACAAAGUAACAUUUUUGUCUUCGUAAGCUUAGUUCAGUUGGCAUGGACAAUGUAUAAUAUAUACAAGGUCCGGGGUUCGAACCCUGCCCAUCACAAAAAAAACGCUUAAGGGUAUAACUGGAUAAAAAAAAAUCAGCUGAAAAGAGUUUUUUUAUUUUUUUAUGUAUAGCACUAAUUCUUAAAUGUCUCAUGUUCCGAAGGAUGAAUAACCAUUAUAUGGGAAUCUAAUUUAAUUCUUUUUGUGAAUUGUUCUCUCUUUUUGUGAAUUACCGAAGUAUGUUUUUGUGAAUUGUUCUCUCUUUUUGUGAAUUACCGAAGUAUGUUUUUGUGAAUUGUUCUCUCAAGUACAAGUUUGUGUAUGAGAAUGUGUAAAUGAUCUUACCUUAAUUUUUAAUGAAUCUAAAACAUUGAUUAAAUCUAACGGUUUAUUUUUUCUGCGCCCCCAUCGAAGAUGAAUUUAACGGAGCCCUCACCUUUGAAUUCAUCCUAAAUUUUUGCAAAAUUAAAAAAAUAGUUUUGAAAAAGAAUUUAAUCAUUUUUGAAAAAAAUAAUAUAAUUAUUUUACACAUGCAUCUAAUAACAUGUGUUGUCACGCUAAUUAAUGAAUAUAAAAACACAUGAGUUGUUGUAUUCAUUAAUUAAUGUGACAUCAUAUUAUUGAAUGCAUGUAUCUAAUAAAUAACCGUAGACGCUUGGUGUAUAAUUUUUUGGUAGUGAAAAAAAAAAAAAGCUUAUAUGGUGCAGUCAGGAAACUAACUUUUUUGGAAAGGUUAAUUAUGAUCUUAAUGUUUCAUUCAUUUUUAAAUUGUUGAUUACUGAUUAAUGGUCAAUAUUAAUUCAUCUAGUAAUGCUUGCAACAUCUUGGACUUACAGAUAAUAUUUUAUCGUUGGCAUCUUUAACAUGCAAACAAAGUUGAUGAUAUUAUGUGAUAGUUGUCGCAUCAUUUUUCGGAGAUCAAUGUAUUUGAUUAGCUUUUGACUCACUAAUUAUUUCACGACUGAACAUUUAAUUUUUAAGAAAAAGGGGAAAAAGUUCAAAACCUCAUAUUGAGAGAUUUAGGGUUUGGGGGUUGGUUAUAUUUAGGGAAGGUAUUAGCACCCUAAAUAUUCGUAGUAGUCUACGAGAACCACCUCUUGAUUUUAUUUAUUUUUCGUGCUUUAAUUUGCUUGCUUUUGAAAAAGAAGUUAAUGUGAUGAUUAAAAGAAAAAGAAAGUGAGACCUAAUUUAUCUACAUUUUUUAUGAUUUGGAAGGACGAUUGUCCUCUGCCUACGUACCUGUGAUAGAUCAAAACCUCGUAGUUUGGGGUAGAAAUUGACGUUUGAAAAAAAUUUAAAGAAAAAAGCCAAGUGGCAAAAAGAUUUUUUUUGUGUUUUUUAUAUUGAAAGAAAAAUGACUCAAAGUAGAAUUAAAAUUGAUUUGAAAUUUGAUUAUGAAAGAAAAUAAAAAGAACGAUCACUUGAUUGAAAAUCAAGGUUUAUUAUGAAAAAUAUUUUUUGUGAUUUUGAUUAUUUGCAUGUUUUUGUACUUAUUGGAAUAUUAAAUGAAAAUUAAACUAAGAGAGCAAUAAAAAUAAAAGCGCGUGAAUUUUUAUAGUGACGUUGGAUCACCACAAAAUCCCUAAUCUAAUUUUUUUGCAUUUUUGGAUAUAUAUAUAUAUAUAAAAGGUGGUAAAGAAAUAAAAGGACACGCACACCCAUACACUUUUCUCAUUUAUAUUUAGGAUUAAUGGUGCUUUACCCCCCUGUAAUAUAGGUCAUUUUUGGUUUCCCCCCUGUAAAAUAUUUUUUUCAUUUACCCCCUGUAAAAUAUUUUGUUUUUUGGAAUACCCCCCUAAUAGGUCAUAAAAAAACGAAAAAAUUCUGCAAAAAAAAUAAAUAAAGUCGUUUUUUUAUGACCUAUUAGGGGGGGUAUUCCAAAAAACACUAUUUUACAGGGGGUAAAUAAAAAAAAAAAAUUAAAGGGGGGAAAACAAAAAAUGACCUAUAUUACAGGGGGUAAAGCACCAUUAACCCUUAUAUUUGCAUUGGACCUAAAUACAUUCUAAUUGCUGGAAAAUAAAUAACAAUAAUUAAAAUGCUAAAUAGAAAUAAAAUAAAAUGCAAAAAUGCUAAAAAGAAAUAAAAUGCAAGAAAAUAAAAGAAAUGGACAACCGAAGGGACAAAAAUUAUCGAAGGGACAAAAAAAAAAAGAGGGAGAAGAAAAGAAUAGCUCGUCAACACAAUCUAGAUAGGGAGAAGAGAGAAAAAUUCUUUGACAACUCAAGAGAACUUUUGGUGUGUGUAAAAUUGUGUGGAAUGAGGGCUCUAUUUAUAGGCGAGGAGGUUGAUGAAAAUGGAAAAUUGGUUUAAUGGAAAUGAAGGACAAUUAUGGUGAAUUUUGAAAAAGGAAUGUUAAAGUUGACACUUGACUUGAAUUUUUUUUAGACCUUUGACAUUUUAUUUUUGGAUCUAUUGACACUUUAUUUUUUUUGGACACUAAUUAAUUAAAAAGAAAUAAAAUAAAUCUAAUACGAAAUAAAAUAAAAACAAAUUAAAAUAAAUUAUGUAAAGUAAAAUAAAAUUAAAAAAUGGAAAAUAAAAGGUAAGAUAAAACUAAAAGACUAAUAAAAAAUAAAAAAAAUAAAAAAGUGAGAAGAAAGGUCAGAAUUGGUACAAAGAUGAGGGAUUUUAAAAUACCUUACUGCCGAAUUUUUCUCUAAAAAGCCAUAGAAUAUUAUGGGUCAGAGGGUGUAUGAAUGUAGGUUCUUAGGUCAAAAAUUGGGGUAUGACAAUAGUAAGUGUUACACUUUGUGGGGUGUUACACUUAAAACAAGGUAUGAUAAAAUUAGAUUAAGUGUAGCCUUGUUAAUUUGAUGAAUUGAAGAUACUAUGGAGACCGAACUUUUGAUUUCAGUGUACAAACAUUGGGGUGUUACUCACUAUAUUUUUGAUGUUAUAGUGUUAACUUCAUUAAAAAAAGUCAUUUUCAUGACUUUACCAUAGAAUUUUUCAAAAAAAUUAUACACCAAACGUGUACGGUUAAACCCUUUGAAAAUUAGAAAAAUAAUGAGAAUUGGAAAGAAAAAAAACAUUAAAUUAUUGAAAUAAAAAAUAAUCAUAAAAUUAAAUUAAAUAUACAUAGUUUGUUAAAAUAUAUAUGUCACAUAAAAAUGAGUUAUGAAAAUUAGAAAUAAAUAAAAAAAUUAAAUAAAAUAUUUAUUAGAUAAGAUCAAAGUAAUUUGUAGUUUGUUGAGAUAUUUAUGUAAAAUAAGAAGAUCAGUUUUGAAAAUAGAAAGUUAGUAAAAAUUUAUAAAAUAAUUAUAAUUAGGGUUAAUAGGUCUUUACCCUCCUGUAAUAUAGGUUAUUUCCGAUUUUUCCCUUUGAUUCACCCUGUAAAAUAUUUUUGAUUUACCCCCUAAUAGGUCAAACAAAAACGAAAAUUUAAUAAAAUUGGUUUUUGUUUGGCCUAUUAGGGGUAAAUCAAAACAAAAAUAUUUUAGAGGGGUGAAUCAAAAUAAAAAUUUUACAAAGGAAAAACCAUAAAUGACCUAUAUUACAGGGGUAAAGACCUAUUAACCUUUAUAAUUAUACGAAAUAUUUAGUAGAUACGAGAAAAAUAUAGUUUGUUACGAUUUAUUGAGAUAUUUAUGUCAUAUAAAUAUGAAAGUUACUUAUAUAUAUUUUAUCGACACUAUUGAUUGAUUCAUUCAUAUUCUCAUAUCAAAAUUAAGCUUUCCAUCGUUCAAUACAUCUUUUUUUCACUAACAAUUCAGAUUCAAACCACUAAUGGCUCGUUCUUUCGCCAACGCUAAGGUUCUCUCUGCUAUCAUCCUUGACGGUUUUUCCAACACUUUUACAAGGUACCAUACCGUUUCUUAUUGCUAUUAUUUUUAACUGUUUUUUGUUUCAUUAAGAAAAAUUUAGGGUUAUACGAUUGGACCCCAAUAUUAGGUCAUACUUAAAAAGCACUUACAAAUAUAUUUAUGAAUUAUUGUUAUAAUUAAAUAGGCGUGGUUACGCUGCGGCUACAGAAAGUACAACGAGGGGAGGAGUGGUGUCUGCCGGAAACAAGACGGGAGCCACGAAGUCAAGGGAAGAAGGUGUUUCUGCUUAUAAGGUUUCAUGGGUUCCAGAUCCAGUCACUGGUUACUAUAGGCCUGAGAACAUUAAGGAUAUUGAUGCUGCUGAAUUACGUGCUAAGCUUCCCCCCAAAAAAUUCAACAACUAAUCUCAACUGGUUCAAGAAGUAUAUUGAUUUUUAUUAGAUAAAUUUUGUUACAUAUAUUCUGGUAUAGUAGUUAUUUCAACGGUGACUCUCAUGAAGUUUUGGGAUCGAUUUUACAUAGUUCAAUGCAAUAUAUUUGUUUUACACAUUAAGCUAUAUUAUAUUUUAUCUUAUAAGUAUAAUCAUUAAGCACAAGAACAUUAACAACAGUUUGGUUAUCACUUUUGAAAUCAACCCGAAUGAAUCGUCAUCUAUAGCUUUUUGAAUUUUGAAUUGAGAGAUGAUAAACACCUCGUAUGCGCUUCGACAAAGUGACCUAAGCUAUCGUGAAAACAAAUGCCUCCAAAACAACCUUCGGAUGCAAAGAGAGCACAAUCCACAUCAUGUUUCAACCAACUAGGAAACUAACUUAUACUGUUGCGUGCGGGCUAAGAAACAAUUUGUUGCAUCCAUGAACAUCACUGAUGCUGAAUACCAAAGUAUAACCUUAGUCACCUCAGAAUUGUUGUGGCUACUAUCCCUCCUCCUCACUAAGCUCAAUGUUCCCUGCUCCACUAUCAUUAUGUUGUGGGACGACCGACGACACGAGUGUCAUUGCAUUAGCCCAUAAUCUUGUUUUGCAUGCAUGCACUGCACUAAUCAUAUAAAACUGGAUUUGUUUUUUGUCCGACAGAAAGUCUUGCAGGGGUUCAAGGUAGUUCAUAUUCCUGGUCAUAUGUGAAACAAUCAAUUUUUAUCUAUUUCAUUUUAGUUCUUGAGGAUCAAUUAUGCUAUUUAUUAGGUUUAGAUGAUUAGACAUCAAUACUAGGAUACGAAACCACUCUUCGAUUAUGCUCCAAGAUACACUACCAGUUUGGAGGCCAUUAAUAUUAAUUCAACUCUUCCUACACAAUUAAGUUCAGUUACAUGAGCCAAAUAAUGAGUGUCACACAAUCUCUGAGUGUCAGACCUAAAAGAAAUAGACACGCUUAUUGACCGAGUAACCAACAUAUUUAGUACCGAACACUAACAACACUCAUCUUUUUUGUUGUGUUAGGAAACAAAACAAAAAAGAAAACUUCAAAAGAUGCUUAGGUGUGUUUGUUUUAGCUUUAAAGAAAAUAGAUUUUGUGUUAGAAAAAUUUAGAGAUUUUGAAAAAAAAAAUCUGAAGUUAUUUGUGUUUGUUUACUAUCCAAAAAACCACUUUUAAAAAAAAGAUGUUUAACUAGUUCAUAUCUUAUCUCCUUAUGUUUGAAAAAAAUAGAUUUUGAGAAAAGUUAAUCCAAAUAGCUUUUUAUUUUAGAGUCAAAAUAGAUUAUUUUAGAAAAAUGAUUUUUCUAAAAAUCCUAAACUAACACUUAAAAUGACAAAAAAAAAAAAUUACUAAAAAAUCUAAAACAACGUGUUAUUAAAUAGUGAAUAAUUAAGGAAGCAAUUGGUUUUUAACACAAUAAAGAAACAUCAUGAAGCAUUGCAUCUUCCCCCUCUUUGUAUGCUUCUGGGGGAUUCAAUAACUAAAAUUAAAUAAAAACGAAAGGUGAAAGAAGCUCAAAUGCAAAUGGGAAACAAUUCCCCACUUUAUUGGCCACCAAUAUUACAUACACACGUAUCGUAUAAAAGGAAGCGUGCGUGGCAAGUAAGAUUGACAUGAAGGCAAAUGCUAAAGAAUUUGGUCGUUUUCAACUUGAUGAUAGAUUCCGGAACUUGGACAAUACAAAAUACAAAUUAAUAAAAUAAGUACUAUUCGAUAUAAAAUACUAGUAGUAUUCACCCUCCGGUCAUAAAUAUAAACAAAAAUUCAUGUUUUAGAUUCAUUCAAUGAAUGAUGUAUGUAGACUUUAUUGUAGACAACAUACAUAAUUAAUUGAAUGAAUCUAAAAUAUAAAUUUUUGUUUAUAUUUAUGAUCGGAGAGUGUAUAUAAUAAUAUAAUAUGCUAAUCUAGACAUAUGGCAAUGUCAGGCAUAACUUGCACCUAUGGUCAUACUAAUCUUUACCUAAGUCACCCAAGCAAGAAACAAACUUGAUUUUAAUAGUCUGGUGGGUUUCUAUUUUCUAACCCAUGCAUGUCAAUAAAGUUUUAGAGUGAUGAUACAUGUACCACCUCAUGUGGCAAUACACCUUUUACAUCCACACAAAUUUCUGACACGUGGCAACUUGGACCCCACACAAAUAGAAGAUAAAGUGUGGUUGUGAGAUGAACUUAUCAAAAUAUCCCUAAUACAUGGGGUGUACAAUAGGGUGUAGAAAUAAAUGAUGUUCAUGUAACAUUUUUCAAAGCUUUAUUUGCUGCCCAAACAAUCAACAAUGUGUCAACUAGCACUAUUUUGUUUUUAACUCCAAAUGGAGAGUGAAAGAAUAACAUGCUGAGAAAUUUGGUACCCUCAUUCUUAUUGGUUCAACUUUUUUGGGGAUUAUUGGUUCAACAUGAAAUUAGUGCGUGUGUAAUUAACAUUGUAAUCGACCAAAUCAAGGUAAUAUCAUGAUUUUGUUGAACUUAUAAAGUGUAUAUUUUGUCAAAAAUCAUGGUGAAUUUUAUCGAACUCGCCACAAUCCAAAUCACUUACCCAAUUUAUUUUCAUAGGAUAAUUUUGUUGUGUUUUUAGUGCUUUUAAAAAAUUCCAAAAAUUACAAGUUCCACACACGAUUUUUGUGAGCUUUUAAGUCUUUAUAUAUUAAUUUGUGAUAUUAUAUUUUAGGCUUAAUUGAUCUGCCGGUCCCUUAACUUAUUUCUUUUAUUCAAUUUGGUUCCAUAAGUCUUAACAUUCUCAAACACGUCCCUUAACUUAUUUAUUUUCUUCAAUUUGGUCCAAUUUUGAUAAUUUUAAUCCCCUAAAAAAAGAGAUUGUUGGAUUACGGAGGUCUAUCAGAUUUUAUAGUCUAUCACCAACACCUAAUUUAUUUACUUUCUUCUUCUUCUUCUUCCUGCAUUCAUCCUUCAUCAAUAAAACCCAGUGUCGCGUCAUUUUUCGGAGAUCAAGGCUAUUUGAUUAGCUUUUUGACUCACUAAUUUAUUUCAAGACUGGACAUUUAAUUUUUAAGAAAAAGGGGAAAAAGUUCAAAACACCCCAUAUUGAGAGAUUUAGGGUUCGGGGGUUGGUUAUAUUUAGAGAAGGUAUUAGCACCCUAAAUAUUCGUAGUACUCUACGAGAACCUCUUGAUUUUAUUUAAUUAAUGUGCUAUAACUUGCUUAUUAUUUUUUAAAAGAAGGAAUUAAAGUGAUAAAAAUAAAGACCUAAUUAUCUNNNNNNNNNNNNNNNNNNNNNNNNNNNNNNNNNNNNNNNNNNNNNNNNNNNNNNNNNNNNNNNNNNNNNNNNNNNNNNNNNNNNNNNNNNNNNNNNNNNNNNNNNNNNNNNNNNNNNNNNNNNNNNNNNNNNNNNNNNNNNNNNNNNNNNNNNNNNNNNNNNNNNNNNNNNNNNNNNNNNNNNNNNNNNNNNNNNNNNNNNNNNNNNNNNNNNNNNNNNNNNNNNNNNNNNNNNNNNNNNNNNNNNNNNNNNNNNNNNNNNNNNNNNNNNNNNNNNNNNNNNNNNNNNNNNNNNNNNNNNNNNNNNNNNNNNNNNNNNNNNNNNNNNNNNNNNNNNNNNNNNNNNNNNNNNNNNNNNNNNNNNNNNNNNNNNNNNNNNNNNNNNNNNNNNNNNNNNNNNNNNNNNNNNNNNNNNNNNNNNNNNNNNNNNNNNNNNNNNNNNNNNNNNNNNNNNNNNNNNNNNNNNNNNNNNNNNNNNNNNNNNNNNNNNNNNNNNNNNNNNNNNNNNNNNNNNNNNNNNNNNNNNNNNNNNNNNNNNNNNNNNNNNNNNNNNNNNNNNNNNNNNNNNNNNNNNNNNNNNNNNNNNNNNNNNNNNNNNNNNNNNNNNNNNNNNNNNNNNNNNNNNNNNNNNNNNNNNNNNNNNNNNNNNNNNNNNNNNNNNNNNNNNNNNNNNNNNNNNNNNNNNNNNNNNNNNNNNNNNNNNNNNNNNNNNNNNNNNNNNNNNNNNNNNNNNNNNNNNNNNNNNNNNNNNNNNNNNNNNNNNNNNNNNNNNNNNNNNNNNNNNNNNNNNNNNNNNNNNNNNNNNNNNNNNNNNNNNNNNNNNNNNNNNNNNNNNNNNNNNNNNNNNNNNNNNNNNNNNNNNNNNNNNNNNNNNNNNNNNNNNNNNNNNNNNNNNNNNNNNNNNNNNNNNNNNNNNNNNNNNNNNNNNNNNNNNNNNNNNNNNNNNNNNNNNNNNNNNNNNNNNNNNNNNNNNNNNNNNNNNNNNNNNNNNNNNNNNNNNNNNUUUUUUUUGGACACUAAUUAAUUAAAAAGAAAUAAAAUAAAUCUAAUACGAAAUAAAAUAAAAACAAAUUAAACUAAAUUAUGUAAAGAAAAAUAAAAUUAAAAGAUGAAAAAUAAAAAUUAUUAAAUAUAAAAAUAGUAACUAAUCUUAAAAUUAAAAUUAAUAAAAGAUGGAAAGAAAAUAAAAAGAGAAAAGAGGGCCCGAAAAUUGGGGUAUGACACCCAAGAAUUUUUUUUUUAACCUACAGCAGGUAGGUUAAAUAUCCAAACAGCAACACACAAAAAAAAAAACCUGCACCAGCAAACAGCCAGCGACCAAAAACAGGUGUCAGAUGAACAAAAUCUUCCUCUUCAUAAACAGCCUUGAGAUCUACAACAUUUGGGUGCCCAGAUAACUAUUGACAAAGAAAAAUGAAGGUUGAAUGAUGAAGAUUGGGUUUGUAAAAAA